AUUGAACGCUGGCGGCAGGCUUAACACAUGCAAGUCGAACGAGUGGCGGACGGGUGAGUAAUGCUUGGGAAUCUAGCUUAUGGAGGGGGAUAACUACGGGAAACUGUAGCUAAUACCGCGUACCAUAGGAUGAGCCCAAGUGGGAUUAGGUAGUUGGUGAGGUAAAGGCUCACCAAGCCGACGAUCUCUAGCUGGUCUGAGAGGAUGAUCAGCCACACAUGGACUGCGACACGGCCCCGACUCCUACGUGAGGCAGCAGUGGGGAAUAUUGCACAAUGGGCGCAAGCCUGAGACAGCCAUGCCGCGUGUAUGAAGAAGGCCUUCGGGUUGUAAAGUACUUUCAGUCGGGAGGCUUUACCGUCUUAAGAAGCACCGGCUAACUCCGUGCCAGCAGCCGCGGUAAUAC
rnacentral:rRNA from 1 species